rnacentral:rRNA from 1 species
UACAGGGGGGGCAAGCGUUGUUCGGAAUUACUGGGCGUAAAGGGCUCGUAGGUGGCCAACUAAGUCAGACGUGAAAUCCCUCAGCUUAACUGGGGAACUGCGUCUGAUACUGGAUGGCUUGAGUUUGGGAGAGGGAUGCGGAAUUCCAGGUGUAGCGGUGAAAUGCGUAGAGAUUAGGAAGAACACCAGUGGCGAAGGCGACUUACUGGACUGUAACUGACGCUGAGGCAUGAAAGCGUGGGGAGCAAACAGG